AAUGGUUUAUAAAUAUAAUUAACAGCAUGAUCUAAAUAACAAAAUGUAACAGGCACGUGUCAGACGGUUCAUCGAUUUUCGGCAUAUCAAAGAAAAACGGACACGUGUCUAAAUAAUGUUGAAUAUCUUGUUUAUUUAUGAUUAUUUUCCGAUACAAUUUGAAAUUUAUGCAUUUAAUAUCAUAUGUAAAAAUAAUACAUAUUACAGCACUUCUUCUAGUCCUUCAAGAGUGGCAUUGUAUAGUCCUUAGUGCACUCAGGAAUCCUUCACCAAAGAUUUAACAGCUGAAUGUCCUGAAUAGGAGCACGUUUCCUAUGACAUUAAUAUGCAGAGAAGCAUUUUGUGAAAGCAGUGACAAAACCCUUUAAAGGUAUCUAAAGGCGACUUUGCCAAAAAUCCUGGCAGAAUCCAGCCUACGGAUCUGAAAUGGAGUACUGGGUACGGCUCAACAGACCCUCAUGCACAUGAUCCAAAGUUGUAGUGAGGACGGAACCUUUUUGGGAAAGCAUGGCCUAUAUUUCAUUUAAUUUCAUCCGUUUGUCUUUUGAUUAAAUCACGUUAAUGAUA